CUUGGUCAUUUAGAGGAAGUAAAAGUCGUAACAAGGUUUCCGUAGGUGAACCUGCGGAAGGAUCAUUAAUGAAUACAAUUCGGUCGGCNGGAAGGAGGGAGCUGUCGCUGGCCUUGUGGCAUGUGCACGCUCUCUUUGGAACGUUCGGUCGUCUUUCAUAUUUUCACCAGUGCACCCAAUGUAGGAUGCCUCUCCUCCGGGAGGGGGGACCUAUGUCUUUUUCAGACGCCCCCCACAGUUUAGAAAGUCUCAGAAUGUUUACUAUCGUCGAACCAUGACUUCCACGAGACGUGGGUCGNCGAGAUAAAAGUUAUCACAACUUUCAGCAACGGAUCUCUUGGCUCUCGCAUCGAUGAAGAACGCAGCGAAUUGCGAUAUGUAAUGUGAAUUGCAGAUCUACAGUGAAUCAUCGAAUCUUUGAACGCACAUUGCGCUCCUGGGUGUUCCGAGGAGCAUGCCUGUUUGAGUGUCAGUAAAUUCUCAACCCCUCUCGAUUAGCUUCGAGGGGGAGCUUGGAUAGUGGGGGCUGCCAGAGACCCAGACUUUGUGUCUGGGACUUGGGCUCUCCUGAAAUACAUUGGCUUGCGAUCGACUUUUUCGACUUUGCGCGACAAGGCUUUCGGCGUGAUAAUGAUCGCCGUCUUCCGAAGCGCAUGAACNGAAGGGAAGGUCUCAUGCCUCCAACAAUAUGCGUCGACGGCAACGUCUUCCAUCUUUAUGUUGACCUCAA
rnacentral:rRNA from 1 species